rnacentral:rRNA from 1 species
UACGUAGGGGCAAGCGUUAUCCGGAUUUACUGGGUGUAAAGGGGGCGCAGACGGCGAUGCAAGCCAGGAGUGAAAGCCCGGGGCCCAACCCCGGGACUGCUCUUGGAACUGCGUGGCUGGAGUGCAGGAGGGGCAGGCGGAAUUCCUGGUGUAGCGGUGAAAUGCGUAGAUAUCAGGAGGAACACCGGUGGCGAAGGCGGCCUGCUGGACUGCAACUGACGUUGAGGCCCGAAAGCGUGGGGAGCAAACAGG